CAAUAGCGUAUAUUAAAGUUGUUGCGGUUAAAAGCUCGUAGUUGGAUUUCUGUCGAAGUUGACCGGUCCACUUCUGUGCGCAUCUGGUUCGACUGAGACAUAUUCUGGAUGUAGCGGCCGCGCUUCAUUGUGUGACGUGAACUCCAGUCUUUUACUUUGAGGAAAUUAGAGUGUUUCAAGCAGGCGUAUGCCUUGAAUACAUUAGCAUGGAAUAAUAAGAUAGGACUUCGGUUCUAUUUUGUUGGUUUCUAGAACUGAAGUAAUGAUUAAUAGGGACAGUCGGGGGCAUUCGUACUUAACUGUCAGAGGUGAAAUUCUUGGAUUUGUUAAAGACGAACUACUGCGAAAGCAUUUGCCAAGGAUGUUUUCAUUGAUCAAGAACGAAAGUUAGGGGAUCGAAGAUGAUUAGAUACCGU
rnacentral:rRNA from 1 species